rnacentral:rRNA from 1 species
UUUUACAAUGGAGAGUUUGAUCCUGGCUCAGGAUGAACGCUAGCGGCAGGCCUAAUACAUGCAAGUCGGACGGGAUUUAACUUAAAGCUUGCUUUAA